AAUCUUUUUCAGGUUAAAAAAGUUCUUUAAAAAAAAAUUUCAAAAAUUUUCUGAAUAAAAGUUAA
rnacentral:tRNA from 1 species